rnacentral:rRNA from 1 species
UACAGAGGAUGCAAGCGUUAUCCGGAAUGAUUGGGCGUAAAGCGUCUGUAGGUGGCUUUUUAAGUCCGCCGUCAAAUCCCAGGGCUCAACUCUGGACAGGCGGUGGAAACUACCAAGCUGGAGUACGGUAGGGGCAGAGGGAAUUUCCGGUGGAGCGGUGAAAUGCGUAGAGAUCGGGAAGAACACCAACGGCGAAAGCACGCUGCUGGGCCGAAACUGACACUGAGAGACGAAAGCCAGGGGAGCGAAUCGG